GGUAUUUGGCCCAGUCGCCUAUCGCCUGGUAGUGGGACCGGAAGUUACUCCGGAGGGGGGGGAUGGCCGUGAUGGGGGGGGCUCCGGGGGGGGGUCGGUCCCUCCUCAGGUGAAGCCCCUGAUGGAGAUGGAGCCGCCACCGCUGAACACCCGGAUCCCGGCUUCGGCCUGGCUGCCGCCGCCUCAGUGACCCCAUCCCCCAGCGCUGGGCCACCUGGGCCAAGAGUGGGGGACUCCCCACCCCUCUUAUCCCACCCGACGCGGUCCUUCUCCCUCAACCCCCAACAGCCUGCGCGCGCGCGCGGAGACGCCUCAGCAGGAGCUUCUGAAGAUGGACAUAGAAGACUGCAAUGGCCGCUCCUACAUGUCUGGUAGCGGGGACUCAUCUCUCGAGAAGGAGUUCCUUGGGGCCCCAGUGGG
rnacentral:lncRNA from 1 species